ensembl:lncRNA ERCC6L2-AS1 ERCC6L2 antisense RNA 1
GUAACACCCGGAAGGCGGCGGAGGACAGCAAGGUGGCUGGCCGGCAGGCCAAUGGCGGCCAACGCCACUUCCGGCCGCCCUCCGAGCAUCGCUCUUCGGCAACCCGAAGCCACAGGAUGGAGGAGGGGGAUCCCAGCAAAGGUAGCGACUAAGGGGACCCAAGCAGAACGGGAGGGCGACGUCCGGAGCGGCGGCAGAGCCAGGGGACGCUGUGUGAGGCUGGCAAAGCGGUGUUCACCUAGUUCUCUCGGGCUCCGCCGCCGCCGGAGGAGGACAGGAGGCCGGCAAGGCGACCCCCAAAUCUUCCUAGGCUCUGACUUCCGUCUCCUAACCCCCGCAAAUUCCAACCCGGUCUUGGAAAAUCCCGCGAGAACGGGCUCCCGAAUUGUCAUUGGGAUCUCGCGAGAACGAAAUCUUCCUUUCUGUGGGCGGAGCAAUCUUCCCGAUGUCUCUUCCCUCUGAGGCCAGUAGCAGGAAGGGCCUCGGGAGUUGCGAGUGUCGCGAGGUUUGAGGUCGCUCGGUGGGCCGGGCGCUGUGCGAAGCUAGAAAUAACUGGGGGCAUGGAGAAUGCGGUGGCUGUAAAGGGCCGCUGAGGCGGUGGAGGCCUGGCAGAGAGCGUCCCCGCGGUCGCGGCUUCUGGCUUCUCUGUGGAGCUUGGUUCUUCCGUGGUGGUGCAGCACCCCAGGAACUUCAGGAACCAGUCCUUCCUUGGAGAGCUCCCCGGGACAGCCACGGGGGCCAAGUGAAACUAGCGCGUUUUCUUGGAUCCUACACUUUAUAGUGAGUCAUAAAUACUUUAAAUACAAAGCCAACAACAUUUGCUGCAAAUAAACGUAAAAAUACUGUUAAAGUGUAAAGUGUUUUCCUCCGUACCAUCUGACGUUUCUGGCGGUUCGUUGAACGCGAGAGAACGCUGAGCCGUCUGCACUGAGCCCGGGAGCAUCUUCAGGGCAGCGCCGCCCACGCGCGAGGUGAAUGAAGGACACGGCCUCUUGACACUCCCAGGCAGCACAGAUAGACGGAUCCGUCUCUGCCCUUGAUCACAUCAGCAGAAUCCUUUUGCCAUUGGCUAGAAGUGACCCCAGGAUUUUUUUAUUAUCAAGAGAGACUAGAAGAAUCAUGAGACUUUUCCUAGUUGCCUUUCAAGAAUAUGAAGAAAAAAAUGGUUCUCAAAGUGGGUUUGAAUGAGUAUUGUUCCAAUAAAUGAACUUAUAUUCAUAUUUCA